AUCAGAGUGUUAUGGUCUAAUACUUAGUGUUUAGUCUCCAUGUUACCUGAAAUAGGUCAAACAAGAGGUCAUAAAUGAGGUCUACUGCCUUACUACAGAUAUAAAGGUCUACUUUAGGUCUAACAUUAGGCCUGACUACAGAUAUAAGCACUACCUGAUGUAUAGCAUUAGGCCUACUGCCUGACUACAGGUAUUAGACCUACUUUGGGUCUAACAUUAGACCUACAUCCUGACAACAGGUAUAAAGGAUUAUAUAUCUAUUUUAAGCCUCUGAAUAAAUGUAUUUUCUGGUUUAAUGGUUAACUCAGUCAUCAAAAUGUUUCUUUGUUUCUUCAUUGAGUGUCUAUAGGUCUCUUAAGGUGUUGCUAUUUAAGGUGAACACCUCAAAGAAGCUGAAUAUUUUCCAUUGACGUCACGUUGGUAUGAAACCUGUUUACCUCGAUGCUAGACCCUCCUCUUCCUGUCACACAAAAAUUGUUUCAGAGAAAUGAGACCACGAGCUGAAAACUUUCCACUCGAUCGAACCAAUCGCUGCUCGUAUGUCCUUUCAUGGUAAAGUACAUCUAGUCAUGAACACGGAAAUACGCAGCAAAGACCUUGUUACUCAAAGACCCAGCUACUCUCUUACAGUCACCAUCAGACCAUCAGACCUCCCGAUUUGUAAGUCGCUCUGGAUAAGAGCGUCUGCUAAAUGACUUAAAUAAAUAAAUAAAAUCAGACCACCAGAUGGACAGGCUGUGUGUCUCUCUGAUUGCAUUCUUAUGUGCUGUUUCCUCCAGUCAGGAUGGGAUCUCUGCAACAGAGGUGGAGCUGAGAGUCAGACCAGGAGACAACAUCACUCUCUACUGUGACUGUAACAUAACUACUGGAGUAUACACUGUGUGGUAUAGGAACUGUUCUCACAAGUACCAGCCUCCUCUAGUUUUUUCAACUAAGUUUUUAAGUUCCAUCUCUCUACCUGGAUAUAAUGUGGUGUGGAACCCCUCUAACAACUCCUAUGAUCUACUGAUUGAGAACAUCACUGAAUCUGAUCUGGGACUCUACUACUGUGGGACUAUGGAGACUAACAUGGUUGGAGAAGGAAAACUAAUUAAACAGAAAGAGUUGUACCACUAUGGAAACAUCACCACUAGGAUUUCACUUGAAACCAGUCCUCCUGAGUCCUCCUCCUCCUCCCCUCCUCCUGUAGACUGUGGUCUGUGUUGGAUGUUGCUGUUCAGUCUGUGUCCUGUGUCUGCUCUCCUCUCCUCUCUCCUCUCCUCCGCCUGUGUCUACUCCUUCUGCAGAACAACAGCAACAACUGAGACUCAGGUUCCUCUGAACAGGACCACCACCAGGGGAAGUGACAGCAGAGAGGAGACUGCAGUCAAAGAGGAAGGAGACCUGUGUUACGCCUCGUUAGAUAUCCGUCAAGGACAGAGGAGACCAAAGAAGAAGAAGAGAGUCCAGAACUCUGACUUCAGUACCUACUCAGCCAUCAAUACCAGCAGAGUGUGUGACCUAUACCAGCCUUCAGUACCAGCAGAGUGAGACCUAUACCAUCCAUCAAUACCAGCAGAGUGUGAGACCUGUACUAGCCAUCAAUACCAGCAGAGUGUGAGACCUAUACCAUCCAUCAAUACCAGCAGAGUGUGUGACCUAUACCAGCCUUCAGUACCAGCAGAGUGAGACCUAUACCAUCCAUCAAUACCAGCAGAGUGUGAGACCUGUACCAGCCAUCAAUACCAGCAGAGUGUGAGAACUAUACCAUCCAUCAAUACCAGCAGAGUGUGAGACCAGUACCAGCCAUCAAUACCAGCAGAGUGUGAGACCUAUACCAUCCAUCAAUACCAGCAUAGUGUGAGACCUGUACCAGCCAUCAAUACCAGCAGAGUGUGAGACCUAUACCAGCCAUCAAUACCAGCAGAGUGAGACCUAUACCAUCCAUCAAUACCAGCAGAGUGUGAGACCUAUACCAUCCAUCAAUACCAGCAGAGUGAGACCUAUACCAGCCAUCAAUACCAGCAGAGUGUGAGACCAGUACCAGCCAUCAAUACCAGCAGAGUGUGAGACCUAUACCAACCAUCAAUACCAGCAGAGUGUGAGACCUAUACCAGCCAUCAAUACCAGCAGGGUGUGAGACCUAUACCAUCCAUCAAUACCAACAGAGUGUGAGACCUAUACCAGCCAUCAAUACCAGCAGAGUGUGAGACCUAUACCAGCCAUCAAUACCAGCAGAGUGAGACCUAUACCAUCCAUCAAUACCAGCAGAGUGAGACCUAUACCAGCCAUCAAUACCAGCAGAGUGUGAGACCUAUACCAGCCAUCAAUACCAGCAGAACGUGAGACCUAUACCAGCCAUCAAUACCAGCAGAGUGAGAUCUAUACCAUCCAUCAAUACCAGCAGAGUGAGACCUAUACCAGCCAUCAAUACCAGCAGAGUGUGAGACCUAUACCAUCCAUCAAUACCAGCAGUGUGAGACCUAUACCAGCCAUCACCUUUGAUUGUAUGACUUAUCAUAUUUUUGUACUAGUGACUUUUGUAAUUUUUACUUUUGUCUGUCGCCUUUUAUUUUAGCAUUUUGCUUUUUAAUAAUCAUAAUAUGUUUUUAAGCUCGGGGAAAAUGUUUAAAUAGAUUUUGAUAUAGAUUCAGUUUGGACGUUUCAUUGGUGGUAUAUCAUUGUAAUUCAUGUGUGCAGUGUGAAGGAUCUGUUUUAAAAGCAAUUUUCAAUAAAUAUUGAUUCAGUUUCAUUAGAUUUUAUUUCAUUCUCUCCCACUAUGUCAGGGGUAUUCAUCUCUUACCCUACGAGGUUCUUAGCCUGCUGGUUUUCUGUUCUACCUGAUCAUUAAUUGCACCCACCUGGUAUCACAGGUCUAAAUCAAUCCCAGAUUAGAUAGAAGGGAACAAUGAAAAAACAGUGGAACUGGCUUGGAGGUCCAGAGAUGAGUAUGAGGACACUAUGGUCUCUUCCAGUUCAAUGUCAUGCAUUCAGUCUGACUAGGCUCCAGCAA
ensembl:lncRNA